CUCUUUCUAUAAAAACAACAUUUUCACAAACACAUUGCAUUCAUUCAAACGGACAGUCAUUAAGAAUUAAUUAACUAAUCAACUCAAAAUUUUGAGAAAAACAAUUAAUUAAUAUAUUAGUAAUUGAAUGCUAUUGAUUGAUUUGUAGAUGAGAGAGACGUAGACGCGAGGACGCUCUGUGUCGAUCUCGUUCGCGACGAGGAGAAUGGGAGCGAUGGAUGCGAGGGUUGAGGGGACGACCUCAUUGUGGAAAACCUCCGUAGAGAAGGAGCACGACGAUUAGAAAAGCCUUGAUGAUGCGGUAGAGGCACAAUGAGGCGACCUCAUUGUCCUCACCGGAAUCCUAGAUCGUCAGAGACGUUGAUCUAAAUAUUUUCCCGGCGACAAUUAAUCGGCACAGCGUUUGAAGCUCUGCGGUGUGUUCUCUUUCUCCGAGAGUACGUCUUGAGGGAGCUGAAAGCGAGGGGCUUUGCUAAACUACGAAGGGUAUAUGUGACCUAAAUAAAGGUAAGAAAUCGAAGUUAUUUUGUGUAGCCUCUAGAAUUUUCCACGAGUUCAAAACUUUCAUACCAAAAACAAAACCAACCACAAACUCCCUUCUGCCGCUGCAUCUCGAAACCCUAAAUUCCCUUUUCC
rnacentral:lncRNA from 1 species